rnacentral:rRNA from 1 species
GACGAACGCUGGCGGCGUGCUUAACACAUGCAAGUCGAACGGAAAGGCCCUGCUUUUGUGGGGUGCUCGAGUGGCGAACGGGUGAGUAACACGUGAGUAACCUGCCCUUGACUUUGGGAUAACUUCAGGAAACUGGGGCUAAUACCGGAUAGGAGCUCCUGCUGCAUGGUGGGGGUUGGAAAGUUUCGGCGGUUGGGGAUGGACUCGCGGCUUAUCAGCUUGUUGGUGGGGUAGUGGCUUACCAAGGCUUUGACGGGUAGCCGGCCUGAGAGGGUGACCGGCCAAAUUGGGACUGAGAUACGGCAGAGACGCAUACGGGAGGAAGGAGUGGGGAAUAUUGCACAAUGGGCGGAAGCGUGAUGCAGGCACGCCGCGUGCGGGAUGCCGGUGUUCGGGAUGAAAACCGGUUGCGCAUGUGACGAAGCGUGAGUGACGGUAAUGGGUAAAGAAGCACCGGCUAACUACG